rnacentral:rRNA from 2 species
AACUUGCUCUUAUGAAAUUGGCAGGCGGACGGGUGAGUUACACGUGGGUGACCUGCCCCUGGGGAGGGAUCACUCCAGCAAACCUGGGCUAAUACCCGCCCUCCUUUUGAACCGCAGGGAUCUAAAUUGCUUGGCCUCUUCGACUGUCACUUAUGGAUGGACCCGCUUCGCGGUGUCACGGUGUAGAGGUAACAGCAUCCCAAGGUGACUAUGCAUGACCACCCUGCGAGGGUGAUCUGACACACUGGCCCUACUCCUACGCCAAGACUCCUACGGGAAUUUUCAACAGGGAAUCAUCCCCUGUGCACGACAUUCUGACUGAGCAACGCCGGGUGAGUGAUUGAAGCUUUCGGGUCGUAAAACUCUGUUGUUACGGAAUAACACCUGCUAGUUGAAUAGGCUGGCGCCUUGACAGUACCUAACCACUACGCCACAGCUAACUACGUGCCACCAACCGCGGUAAUACUUAUGUGGAUUGCUUUAUCCGGAAUUAUUGCGCGUAAAUCGCGCACAGGUAGUUUCUUACCUCUGACGUGACAUCCCACCGCUCAUCCGUGGAGGGUCAUUGGAGACUGUGAGACUUGAGUGCAAAACAGGAUAUUGCAAUUCCAUGUGUAGCGGUGAAAUGCAUCGAGAUAUGCAAGAGCACCCUUGUCGAAUGCGACUUUCUGGUCUGUAACUGACACUGAGGCGCGAACGCGUGUGGAGCACACGGGAUUAGAUACCCUGGUAGUCCACACCGUAAACUAUGAGUGCUCAGUGCUAGAUGGUUUCCCCCCCUUUAGUGCUGUAAUUAACUCAUGAGCACUCCGCCUGGUGAGUACUGACGCGAAGUCUGAAACUCACGGACAUCGACGGUGGGACCAUGCACGAUCUGUUGAUCAUGUCGCUUAAUUCGAUAGCAACGCGUAGAACCGUACCGAAGUGCUGACGUCAUCUGACAUCGCUCGAGAUAGACUGCACAUCGGUGACCAGAUGACAGCGUGCAGCAUCGAUCGUCGUCAGCUCGGUCAGUACAUGUACGAUCAGUACCCGCUAGCAGUCGCAGCAUGAUCGUACUGCAAUCAUUACGUCCGUCACUUAACGUGACCUAGCGUGACUGACCGUAAGUACGUUGCACUGACUCGAAUCGCAUGCCCUAGACUCCUGACUGUACCAUGACCGUCAGGAAGCUCUAUGACCGACGGUUAGU